AACAACGUUAUUGAAAUAUUACUUUCUAUUUUGGACAAAGGGCUCAUAACUAGUUUUAAAAUGUAAAUAUUUUUUUGCAGGAAACGAGCACUAUUAAUGAUACUUCAAGGCUACACAGGGCGCUUGUCAUAGCGGGCCAGCUCAGCGGAGUCGCAGCAGUUAUAGAACACUGCCUCACCAUACCACGGUGCCGAAGCCCUGGAUGGAAUUAGCAAGGCUGAGGGACGGUGCCACGGACACAUCCUCGUGGUUCUUGGAGGUCAUGAAGUUGUCAUAGGGGCUGUAACGGCGAACGAUGUUCCCCAGUCUGUGGCCGUUCACAAGGGGCUGAAUAUAGUAGAAGUCCUCACUGCCCUCCUGGCCUAAGAUAUCUGAGCUGUCUCUCAAAAACACACUUUUACACUCAUUUAUGAACUGAUCUGGGAUUGUCCUACAGGACUCCAUGCCAUUCUUCAGAAAGCUGCACUUUUCUUUCACCAUCUUCAUGUUAAAGGUGUUUGACAAAUGCAUCCUACAGUAUCUAUCUCCUUACACACCGUAUCGAUCUGGGAGACACACGGUGAAGAGACAUUAUUAGCACAUGACACAUUAGAGUACCCAGAGAAGGGCCUUUGCAAGCUUUCCUUUCUUACCCAUCUGAGAUGCAUUGAUAACCGCUUCGGCUAGAUUGUAUUACAUGUUGUAAUAAAUCUAUAUCAUUUUAGGUUGAGAGGCAGGGUUGGUGUUGAUAUAAUGUGUUAGAUUGGGCCCAGAUCUUUAAAAAAUGUAUACUUAAAAAACUGGAAAUCAACCAAUCCUCCGUUGUUAAUGCAAUGGAAAGGUCAAAUGCUUUGUUAUGUAAAAAUGUAAAGUGUGUGGGCGACGGAGAGAAAAACAAAAUGGUGCAGUUUGAGGCUUUGUGGCGGAAAGUGAUGCGGGAGCUGGAGACAGGGGUCUAGUGGGUCUGGGCAGGUGUGAUGUAGUUGAUGUUUGUAUGAUGUGAAUGUUUUGUAUUGUUUAUGAAAGAUCAAAUAAAAUCGUACAAAAAAAGAUUGUCCAAGAUGACAUGUAAUAAAGUGAAC
ensembl:lncRNA